rnacentral:rRNA from 1 species
GGUUAAGUCUGCCCAGUGAAAACUAAUUUUUUAACGGCCGCAGUACUUUGACUGUGCUAAGGUAGCAAAAUAAAUACGCUUUUAAUUAAGGUCGAGAAUGAAUGGCACCAUGGGUGUAAACUGUCUCCUUUUAUGAUUGUUAAUUUGUUUAAUAGGUGAAAAGACCUAUAUUAAAAAUAAUAGACGAGAAGACCCUUAGAGUUUUUAACCAUAUUAGCUAUUAGAUUAGUUUAUUAAUUUUUUGUUGGGGCGACAUAGUAUCAAAUAGCAUACUUAAUAUUAUUGAUGUAACAAGUCUUUAUUACAAUUGAAUAUAACUACCUAAGGGAUAACAGCAUAAUUUUUAACAUAAAGAUUGUGACCUCGAUGUUGGACUAGGGACUAAAUGUAUUAGUCAUAUA